AUGGAGACCAGACAUCACGUGAAAUGGACACGUUCAAAGGCAGGUCCUGUCUCGGGGGCAGUAGACAUCAGAGGACUACAGAAGGGUCUUCCUCCUCUCAAGCCAGGUGGUCCAUGGGAGAUGAUGAGCAGUACCCUUCUGUCACCAGAAGAUCCCGCAGGAAGCUGCAAGGCUGAAGCAUUUUUGGGUGGACUGAACUUCCACUCAUUGUGGUACUGAAUUCUUUACUAUGGAGAUGUAGAAGAGAUAGUUUCUGGAGUGAUGAGGGAUUUGGUGAAGCUGUUUGCUCUCUGAAACAAGACAGUAAAGGCUGAACAACUAAAAUGGAUCAUUUCAGAACUCUGGCCAAUAUCCAAAGCCACUGAAAGAACUGAAAACCACCCAAGAUAAGCUGCCAAGCCCCGAUGAAGCAGUGGGACCUGUGAAGUGUCGUUUUAUUUAUUUGGCUGGGACGAGUCUUAGUUGCAGGACGCAGGAUCAUCAAUCUUCCUAUACGUUCUUUAGUUGUGGCAUGAGAACUCUCAUUUGCAUCACGUGGGAUCUUAGUUCCUUGAUCAGGCAUCGAACCCAGGUCCCCUGUUUUGGGAGUAUGGAGUCUUAGCCACUGGACCACCGGGGACAUGCCUGUGAAGUUUUAAUUUGGAGCUAUUUCCAUUUCCUUCUUUCCCCAGUUCAGUGGUGUAGAAACCAAAAUCCAGCUGCACCAUAAAGGAUAGAGAGAUGUGAAUUCUUUUUGGUCUCUGUUAAAAGCACAGUCCCCUAGAGCACUGCCAAUUUGUUGUCCCAACUUGGAGCUCCCUCAAACAUCAGAGUAUGUCAGCUAUUUCACUUGAUUCAGAGCUUGGGUGGGGUAAAGGGGGCUUACCCCAGGGCAUCAGUGAGGCAGUGGAAAAUAAAACUGACAGCAUUUAAAUUAUCUGAGGUAGU
rnacentral:lncRNA from 1 species